UACGUAGGGGGCUAGCGUUGUCCGGAAUCAUUGGGCGUAAAGCGCGCGUAGGCGGCCCGGUAAGUCCGCUGUGAAAGUCCAGGGCUCAACCCUGGAAAGCCGGUGGAUACUGCCGGGCUAGAGUCCGGAAGAGGCGAGUGGAAUUCCUGGUGUAGCGGUGGAAUGCGCAGAUAUCAGGAGGAACACCAAUGGCGAAGGCAGCUCGCUGGGACGGUACUGACGCUGAGGCGCGAAAGCCAGGGGAGCAAACGGG
rnacentral:rRNA from 1 species